GUGCCAGCAGCCGCGGUAAGACGAACCGUGCGAACGUUGUUCGGAUUCACUGGGCUUAAAGGGCGCGUAGGCGGCUCGCCAAGUCAGGGGUGAAAUCGUUCGGCCCAACCGGACAAGUGCCCCUGAUACUGGCGGGCUCGAGGGAGGUAGGGGCAUGCGGAACUUCCGGUGGAGCGGUGAAAUGCGUAGAUAUCGGAAGGAACGCCGGUGGCGAAAGCGGCGUGCUGGACCUCGCCUGACGCUGAUGCGCGAAAGCCAGGGGAGCAAACGGGAUUAGAUACCCCGGUAGUCC
rnacentral:rRNA from 1 species